AAUGAACGCUGGCGGCAGGCCUAAAACAUGCAAGUCGAACGCUCUAGCAAUAGAGAGUGGCGCACGGGUGCGUAACACGUGGGAAUAUGCCUUUUGGUACGGAACAACGUUUGGAAACGAACGCUAAUACCGUAUGGUCCCUUCGGGGUAAAGAUUUAUCGCCAAAAGAUUAGCCCGCGCUGGAUUAGCUAGUUGGUGAGGUAAUGACUCACCAAGGCGACGAUCCAUAGCUGGUCUGAGAGGACGAUCAGCCACACUGGGACUGAGACACGGCCCAGACUCCUACGGGAGGCAGCAGUUAGGAAUAUUGGACAAUGGACGCAAGUCUGAUCCAGCCAUGCCGCGUGAGCGAUGAAGGCCU
rnacentral:rRNA from 1 species